rnacentral:lncRNA from 7 species
ACGGUGGGCGGGCAGCAGGAGGACUGUGCCCUGAUGGGGUGCCCAUCACAGCCCAACAGCGGCUCGAGCGGGAGCGCACCAAGAAACCGGCCCACUUGCUGGAGCAGGAGACGUGGCCAUAGCCGACCAAGACGGCUCCCUGGAGCCCUGGGCUCCUCGCUGGCCCCCACCAUGCCCAGAGAGCAGCGGCAGUGUUCCGGGGGCACCAGCACCGGCCCCAGCCCUACCCCUCCAAAACUGGGCUGUCCACAAACGGCAUCUUGGGCUGGGGCAAUGCGGGACUCUGAAGCUGAUGGACCGCCAAAGGGUUGCACUGUCAAAGCUUUGGGCUGGGAAAUGUGGCUGGGGGGUGGGAAAUGGGUGGGGAGGGAAUGGUUGCAGGGUGGGGGGAGGGAAUUUGGGGUGGGAACUCUUUGGGUGGGAACUUGGGGUGGGAAUUCUUGGGGUGCUGGGAUCUUUGUGAGGUUGGAAAUGAAAUGGCUGUACUCUGAUGUUGUUGGGGUGGGAAUUUGGGGGGUGGGGAACUGCUGGGGCGAGAAAUGGCUGCCGUGGGAGAUGGUUGGCAUCAAAAAUGAUUGGACUCCGUAACUGCUGGCAUUGAAGAUGGGGGGAGGGGGAGGGAAUUCUGUGGGGUGGCAAUUCUGGGGGAGAAAUUGUACUCUGAUCACGUUACACUCCCAAGUUGUUGGAAUUUGGAGGAAGGAAUUGUUGGGGUGGGAAUGUGGGGGGCUGGGAGGUAUUUUGCAGAGGGAGGGAACUAUUGGUGGGAGGGAGCGGGGGGGGGAGGAGGGUGGGUGGUGGGAAAUUGAUUGCGGGGUGGGAGCUGGGGGUGGGAAAUUGAUUAGAGGGUGGGAAUUUUAGGGGGUGGGAUCAGAAACAAUUGUUAGGGUGGGAAAAGGUUGGGAAUAUCAUCAUUUAUUUGCUGUUUUGUACGUUAAAUUAUUAAACGUGUAGGAAAGUGAACGCCAAACCUCUGCCUGCAGUCGUUUGUGCAGCACCAAAGCCCCCCCCCAGGCUCCCCCGUGCCCACCUCCGGGAAUGCUGGGGUGGCUGCAGCGAGCCAAGAGCUCCUCCACUCUCAACAUCUCCAUCACCAUCGCUGCUGUCAACAUCUCUGUUGCCUUGUGCUGUUCCUGGGGAAGGAGAUGGUCACGGACCGAGCAGUGGGUGUGUUGAGCUGGGGGCACUGGGCAGUACUGGAGGCACUGGAAGCCCACUGCAGGGCACUGGGAGGCUAUUGAGGGCCGCAGGCAGCACUGGGGGGCACUGAGUUUGCACAAGAAGACUCUAGACAAUACUGGGAGGCAAUGGGAGCUUAGUGGGGAGCUAAGCAAUCCAUUUCUUCCGUGGGGGAGACUUUCUCCCUGGGGCUGACCCCCCCCAACCACAGCACCGCUUGGCUCUGCCCUGGGCGCUAUGGUCCAUGCAUUCCCACCCUGAUGCUGUCUCUCAGUGACACAUUUGUCACCCACAGACUCACCGUGGGUCCUGAGCUGGGCUGGGGGGCGUCCUGUGAAAGCAACCCCAGUGACAGCCCUGAGCCCUAUACGGCACAGAUCCCGGAAAACCACCGGUUUCAUGCUGCCCAAAUCAGCUUCAGCUCAUCACCCUGGGACUCCAGCGGGGGGCUCUGUGGAAGCUUCCCCUGUUUCCAGCUGCUGCUACCCCGUGCUUGUUGACCAUGCUUCAUGCUCUGGCAUACACCUGGAAAGGUGAACUCUGCCAUGGCCUAGGAAGAGCUCUGCUCUUUCUUUCUUAGCAAUGCCUCUGAACAUCUUGAAAGCCAGGAGGAAGAGGCCAUGACUGAAAGGCAGAGAGAUUCUGGCAGCACAAGGGACCGUUUCACAACAACAAGCUCCACACAGUCUACGGGAACACCAUUUCUUAGCUGCUUUCCUCCCUGCCCCAAUGGCCGUCACACUUCAUCAUCUCCACUUGACAGGCUGGAGCAGCAGCAAGUCGUACUGCUGGGUUUCUGAAGGCCCUUUUAACCUCCAGAGGGAAGAAAACAGCCCCAACAAAAAGGGGGCAGCGGGGCUCUCCCUAGGACACCACUGGUCUCAGCAGAGUUCACAGGGACUUCAAACGCACAAAGCACCCACAAAAGCAUCCCAACAGCUCCAACAAGGAAGCAAAACAAAGCCAGGACGCUCUGCAGGGCUCCCAGCUCUUAG